rnacentral:piRNA from 1 species
UCCACAAUCAGUGGUUGUAAAGCAUGCAGC